CUUUCCUGGUGGCCUGCCCAGCUGUGUCAGCACUGCUGCAGGGUCCAGAGCUGUGAGGACAGAGGCAAGACGCGGGCCGGCGGUGUUCAGUGCGGAUGCUCAGCUGCCUUCCGGGGGCCGCGCUCAGUGUACCCGGCAUGUCCACGUCAUUUUUGUACUAAGACAGGAUCGGAUGGUCCGCCCCGGUUUUGUGCGAUCCCUUUGCAGCAGGAAGCCUUCUGAAGUUUGCACAAGCCACUACACCCAUCGUGGGAGGAAGGAGCCGUGGAAGAGGCAGGGACCUGCCGUGACCAUGAGCCUAGGCCCUGCUCCUUCUUCUGUGAGCCGGACAGUCGCUGGGCCCUGCCCUGGAACCGUCCAUCCCCAGGGAGGAAGAACACGGUAAUGAUCAUGUGAACAGCAGGGUAAUUUCAGCCAGGUGAGGACAGAGUCGCAUGGGCCGGUGGCGGGGGGCGGUGUUCUUUUAGAUGGGCCUCAUCUGUUCUCCAUCAGCCCUCAGGACCCCGUUUUAUAGCCCAAGAGCUGGGCUCAGUUAGCAACUCGCCCGCAGUCACAAAGCAAAGCACGAACCCCAGGCUGACCCCGAAAUCCGAGCCCCCCACCCCCAACUCCCACCAUUAGUGGAGAGAAGCAGACAGAGCAGAGAAGGAAGCCGUCAUCCCUGGCCCUGACCCCUCGCCUGGCUUCCUUGCUGCCCUGCCGGCUUCCACAGUCACCUCCUGCAGCCCGUCUCCACCCAGCAGCCUAGCAGUGCCUCCUCCAAGCGUGCCAGCCCCAACUCAGGCCUUCCAAUGGCCUGCAGGUCCAGAGGCCCUGUAGAAGCAGCAGCUAUAAUGGGGGGUGUUAAUGAAGCCCGUAAGGAACCUGGGAUCUGAGACCGAGGGGAGGGGCAGGAAGGCCUCUCAGAGCCUGAGGGAGAGAGCGCGUGUUCAUAGAUGUUGCCGCGUCCUCCGUUUCCUCCUGAACUGAGAUCUGGGCCGCCGGUGGAAGGGCAGGUGUUGGCAGCCUGGGAGGAGCAGUGGGACCCGGUCUGCGCGUCCACCUCUGCGGGAGGAGCGGACGGAGGCCGCCCUCUGGGGACGUGGAAAGGCCUUCGGGAGCCUCGAGAGAACACAGCUCCUGGGAACAGGCUGCUGUGUCUCUCAAGGGCAGAGGGUGGCCUCGUGGGCAGCCCCAUUUCAGACUGGCGUCAAGAAACCAGACUGGCUCCAGAUCCCCCCUGAAUGACUGUGCAACUGCGGGCAAGUCUCGCCCUCUGUUAGGCUCAGUCACCACAGCCCAAAGUGAGGGGCCAGAUGACACCUGGCGCCCCGCCAGCUCUUUAAUUGUUCCUUCUUCUGCUGAGCCCAGAGUCUCCCCUGGGAGUUAUUUGGAGGAGCCCCAGGGAGCUGGAAUCCUAGUGGUGACCAGCAUCCCCCCAAGUGCAGCUGGGGUCAGGGCGCCAGGCCACGGCGGAGCAGGAGGGGGACGGACCAGGUCCCAGGAGGAAGAAGAACACAGGCCACGGAUUUCGUUUUUUUUUUCUUUCUUUACUAUUUUUCUCUUUUUAAUUACGUAAGUAUCCAUUUAUAUAUUCUCAUUGUAAAAGAUUUCAGAAGUGUCUAUGAAUAUAAAGUAAAAUAUGACAGACUCUCUCCAGGCUCCACCUGCCCCUGCAAGGUCUUGAGCAGGUGACUUGAGUUUUCGGGGCUGUCCGGAGGCAGAGGGGCGUCAGUCGCCAUGCAGGAAGCAGUGAUCCCACCUGCAAAUACCACCACCUUGGGAUGAGGUUUCAACAUAUGAAUUUGGGGGACGCAAACAUCCGGUCUAUGGCAGAGAUCUCUCCGGCUCCGUGGGCGGAGGCCUGCCACGUUCUUCAAAACUGCCGCUUGGUACUCAGUUGUGUGGAUGUUUUUUAGGAAAAACUCAUUGUUUUCCUCUGCUCACACUACCAACACUUCUGACGCCAGAUGUGUGGGUUUUCACGCCCAGCAAUUCUGACACUAACUGCCUGGAGUUAGCACAGACCCCACAGGUCAGUCCCACCCGACUGUCCCCCACUGCAGAUGCCAGUUUCAAGUCGUGGGUCCCCAAGUUAUCUACAGCUUCUGUGAGACUUGGCUACAAAUCGGAGUUUCCUGUGAUCCCCUCCUUGGGUUCGAUAAUUUGCUAGAGCAGCUCAUGGAACCCAGCAAAGCAGGUUACUUGCUGUUACCAAUUUAUUGCAGAGGAUAAUUUAAAGGAUAGAAACAAACAGCCAGAUGAAAAGAUCUGUGCAGGAGCCCCUGUCCCCGUGGAGCUGGGGCGCAUCACCCUCCCAGCACGUGACCGUGUUUCACUUUGGAAGCUCUCCAAGCCCCGUACUUUGGGGAGUUGAUGGAGCCUUCAUCAUGUAGGCAUGAUUCACUCAAUCUCCAGCCCAUCUCCUCUCCCCGGAGGAUGCGGGAUGGCGGUGGAAGUUCCAAGCUUCUAAUCAUGGCUUCGAAUCAUGACCAGCUGCCAUCCAGGAGCCCACCCAGAGUCACCUCAUUAGAACAAAAGACGCUCCUGUCACUCAGGAAAUUCCAAGGAAUUUAGGAGCUCUGUGCCGGGAACCAGGCGACGAGACCGAUUUAUAUAUUUUUAAAUUAUUACAGGAUGUGUAUACUAUUAUUAAACCCAUCCCUAAUUGUUGAACGUUGCGGUGGUUUUGGAUUUUUCACUCUUAAACAUGCUGCAGCAAAUGUCUUUGUCCGCAUAAGUCCUAAAAGCAAAUUGUUCAGUCAAAAGGUAGGAAAAUUUUAAGUUUUGAUAGAAGCUGCCAAAUUGCCUUGAAAAAGGUUUUACCCAUUUGCGCUCAUAAUGGUUUAUGAGUGCCCUUUACCCAUAUCCUUGUCGAUACUGA
ensembl:lncRNA